UGGGGAAUUUUGGGCAAUGGGCGAAAGCCUGACCCAGCAACGCCGCGUGUGGGAUGAAGGCCCUCGGGUCGUAAACCACUGUCAGGAGGAAAGAACGGCCGGCCGGAUAACACUCGGCUGGUUUGACGGUACCUCCAAAGGAAGCGCCGGCUAACUCCGUGCCAGCAGCCGCGGUAAUACGGAGGGCGCAAGCGUUGUUCGGAAUUACUGGGCGUAAAGCGCGUGCAGGUGGCUAAGUAAGUCGAAUGUGAAAGCCCCGGGCUCAACCCGGGAACUGCAUCCGAAACUGCUUGGCUAGAGUCCCGGAGAGGAAGGCAGAAUUCCCAAUGUAGGGGUGAAAUCCGUAGAUAUUGGGAGGAAUACCGGUGGCGAAGGCGGCCUUCUGGACGGUGACUGACACUCAGACGCGAAAGCGUGGGGAGCAAACAGG
rnacentral:rRNA from 1 species